AUCAUAUGUUUGCAUGCAUACGUAAAGGAUCCGAGCCCUUUUAAAACGUUUCACAGGGUCUCCUACUCUACUCGUAUUCCGUCACGUCCUCGUCAUGCAGAGUGGUAAGCUGUUCCAUCGUAUAUCCAAGCUUGAGUAGUUGUUAGAUGGUGGAGCAGAAUUUGACGUCG
rnacentral:ribozyme from 1 species